GGAGGGGUGAGCGGGAAAACGCGGCGCGGAGCCGGGAACUGCGCCCCCGCCCCCUCCCGCAGGGGAAGCGGCGCCGAGGGGCGGUUGCUGCCUCCCCCUUCGCAGGCGGACGGGAGCGAGGGCAGCCGCAAAAGGCGAAGUUUGGGGAAAACUUUUCCCCCGCCUCGAGAAGGAGAGAAGACUUGCAUAGCUGGGGUUCACCUGGACGAAUUGAACUUGGAGCAGAAUAAGAUGCAAAAUGAGAACAGUUGUGAUUUAGACUCUAGAAACUUUGUGUUGUUCUGCUAUAGAAUUGUACUUCGCAAAAGACAACCAGCGAGAGCCACCUGUAACCAAACACACCUUGAUGGUGGAGGGAGCUUCACAAGUGUUUCUGGAGCAGCUGACAUGGUGUGCUGUGUUUGGGUGUAGUCAGCUUGAAGUUCUUGGAUAGCACAGGAGGUCAAUGCAGACCAGUAGCAGCAGCUGAACAACAGGAUGACAGCAUUGCACUCAUGGAAAUCUGUGCAGAUCUCAGCUGCAGAUGUGAAAUGCAAAGUGAGAACUUCCCUUAACAUGCAGAAGCCCAUUGCUGUCUAUGGAAAAGCAUUAUUUCUGAUUACUUGCAACUGAAAACCAGCUGGGUUUGUGUC
ensembl:lncRNA